rnacentral:misc_RNA from 1 species
GAUGAAGAACGCAGCGAAAUGCGAUAAGUAAUGUGAAUUGCAGAAUUCAGUGAAUCAUCGAAUCUUUGAACGCACAUUGCGCCCGCCAGUAUUCUGGCGGGCAUGCCUGUCCGAGCGUCAUUUCAACCCUCGAACCCCUCCGGGGGGUCGGCGUUGGGGAUCGGCCCUCCCUUAGCGGGUGGCCGUCUCCGAAAUACAGUGGCGGUCUCGCCGCAGCCUCUCCUGCGCAGUAGUUUGCACACUCGCAUCGGGAGCGCGGCGCGUCCACAGCCGUUAAACACCCAACUUCUGAAAUGUUGACCUCGGAUCAGGUAGGACUACCCGCUGAACUUAAGCAUAUCAAUAAGCGGAGGA